AUUGAACGCUGGCGGAAUGCUUUACACAUGCAAGUCGAACGGCAGCACGGGGGCAACCCUGGUGGCGAGUGGCGAACGGGUGAGUAAUACAUCGGAACGUGCCCAGUCGUGGGGGAUAACGUAGCGAAAGUUACGCUAAUACCGCAUACGAUCUACGGAUGAAAGCGGGGGACCGUAAGGCCUCGCGCGAUUGGAGCGGCCGAUGUCAGAUUAGGUAGUUGGUGAGGGAAAGGCUCACCAAGCCGACGAUCUGUAGCUGGUCUGAGAGGACGACCAGCCACACUGGGAAUGAGACACGGCCCAGACUCCUACGGGAGGCAGCAGUGGGGAAUUUUGGACAAUGGGCGCAAGCCUGAUCCAGCCAUUCCGCGUGCAGGACGAAGGCCUUCGGGUUGUAAACUGCUUUUGUACGGAACGAAAAGGCACGCCCUAAUACGGCGUGUUCUUGACGGUACCGGCGGAAUAAGCACCGGCUAACUACGUGCCAGCAGCCGCAGUAA
rnacentral:rRNA from 1 species